CUACUGUUUUGUUAUUUUUUUAGGUGCUUCAGUUGUUUAUGUUUGGAAUUUUCUUCUACUUCAAACAGUGCUUGUGUGACAUGAUCAAAAACCACUUCAUUUUCUUCUGCAAGAAGGCACCGUGAUCAGUCUCAUAGUUACAGACUCCCACAAAAGUGCAACACCCUUGAUCCUUGGAUUCACUCUCUCAGAUUUAUCACUCUUCACAAAAGCACUCAGUCCUUAAGAAUGUGUUUGCAACCAGCAGUACUCAGUUUAAGAACAAAUUCCAAACGCUUCCCAAUAAUGUCUGACGCAACAGCCGCCCCUCUCCCUUCCUCCCUUAUCUCCACCUGUCUGGCCCUUGCCUCCCAGCCCGUAACUCACCAUGGUAAAGGGCAUGAACUGCAGGAUGUUUCCGCGAGUCCCCUGCUCCAGGCACUCGACGCACUCCUCCAUAAAACUCUGCACAAACUGGGUGUGUGGUCCCGCCAUCUUGGAGCCCACGAUGGAGGAAAUGAGGAGGAAAAGGUUGGCUGAGGAGAGAAGAGAACAGGUGGAGUGAAUCAUCAUGGUUGAAAUGCAGGCAAAACAGGACAGUGUGGACAGAGUUCUCACCCAGGACUCGAUUGAGAGGGUCCCUCAUGUUGACGGUGUGGAGCUGGGAGGCAGAGAGGGAACUGCUCAUUGAUCGAUCUCCUAUGAGAUAACACAUGAAUGAAACACAUGGACAACAGAAUGUCAACAGGGGAAGUUAUGAAGUGUUCAAAAUGCAAAUUUGAAUUAAAAGUUGUGAAAGUUUAAAA